rnacentral:rRNA from 1 species
GAUGAACGCUAGCGACAGGCUUAACACAUGCAAGUCGAGGGGCAGCAUAGAAGUAGCAAUACUUUGGUGGCGACCGGCGCACGGGUGAGUAACGCGUAUGCAACCUACCUAUCAGAGGGGAAUAACCCGGCGAAAGUCGGACUAAUACCGCAUAAAACAGGGGCACCGCAUGGUGUUAUUUGUUAAAGAAAUUCGCUGAUAGAUGGGCAUGCGUUCCAUUAGGUAGUUGGUGAGGUAACGGCUCACCAAGCCGACGAUGGAUAGGGGAACUGAGAGGUUGGUCCCCCACACUGGUACUGAGACACGGACCAGACUCCUACGGGAGGCAGCAGUGAGGAAUAUUGGUCAAUGGGCGGGAGCCUGAACCAGCCAAGUCGCGUGAAGGAAGAAGGAUCUAUGGUUCGUAAACUUCUUUUGCAGGGGAAUAAAGUGCAGGACGUGCCCUGUUUUGUAUGUACCCUGAGAAUAAGGAUCGGCUAACUCCGUGCCAGCAGCCGCGGUAACAC